rnacentral:lncRNA from 1 species
GCUACAGUGAUAGGCACUUUUAGCUUGAAACAUUUGCCCGCAGCCAUUUCCAUCGGUGAUAGUGUCAGGAUGGUGUUCAAGAAAUACUCAGUUGUUUUUCGUCUCGUGGUGCUUGAUGUUGUGAGCACAUUUGGGAUUUCAAAAGCGGUGCGAGAGCUUGGUGUGUCAAGGAGCUCUGUGUGGCGCUGGCGUAAAGACCCUGUUGGGAAGUGGUUAAAAUCCAACAGGGCAAGGCGAAAGAACACAAGCUUCAAGGUAGACAUGAUUUGCAACGCAUUGGAAUGUGGCCU